rnacentral:rRNA from 1 species
GUCGAGCGAAGUUUUUAAAGUGAAUCCCUUCGGGGUGAAACUUUAAUUAUCUUAGCGGCGGACGGGUGAGUAACGCGUGAGAAACCUGCCUUUCACAAAGGGAUAGCCUCGGGAAACUGGGAUUAAUACCUUAUGAUACUUCUACUUCACAUGAGGAAGAAGUUAAAGCGUAAAGCGGUGAAAGAUGGUCUCGCGUCCCAUUAGCUAGUUGGUGAGGUAAUAGCUCACCAAGGCGACGAUGGGUAGCCGGCCUGAGAGGGUGAACGGCCACACUGGAACUGAGACACGGUCCAGACUCCUACGGGAGGCAGCAGUGGGGAAUAUUGCACAAUGGAGGAAACUCUGAUGCAGCGACGCCGCGUGAACGAUGAAGGCUUUCGGGUCGUAAAGUUCUGUCCUAGGGGACGAUAAUGACGGUACCCUAGGAGGAAGCCCCGGCUAACUACGUGCCAGCAGCCGCGGUAAUACGUAGGGGGCAAGCGUUGUCCGGAUUUAUUGGGCGUAAAGGGUUCGCAGGCGGUCUUUUAAGUCAGAUGUGAAAGGUCACAGCUCAACUGUGGCAAGCAUUUGAAACUGAAGGACUUGAGUUAAGGAGAGGAAAGUGGAAUUCCUAGUGUAGCGGUGAAAUGCGUAGAUAUUAGGAGGAAUACCAGUGGCGAA